rnacentral:rRNA from 1 species
AUUGAACGCUGGCGGCAGGCCUAACACAUGCAAGUCGAGCGGAUGAAGGGAGCUUGCUCCUGGAUUCAGCGGCGGACGGGGGAGUAAUGCCUAGGAAUCUGCCUGGCAGUGGGGGAUAACGUCCGGAAACGGGCGCUAAUACCGUAUACGUCCGGAGGGAGAAAGUGGGGGAGCUUCGGACCUCACGCUAUCGGAUGAGCCUAGGUCGGAUUAGCUAGUUGGUGGGGUAAAGGCCUACCAAGGCGACGAUCCGUAACUGGUCUGAGAGGAUGAUCAGUCACACUGGAACUGAGACACGGUCCAGACUCCUACGGGAGGGAGCAGUGGGGAAUAUUGGACAAUGGGCGAAAGCCUGAUCCAGCCAUGCCGCGUGUGUGAAGAAGGUCUUCGGAUUGUAAAGCACUUUAAGUUGGGAGGAAGGGCAGUAAGUUAAUACCUUGCUGUUUUGACGUUACCAACAGAAUAAGCACCGGCUAACUUCGUG